AACGAACGCUGGCGGCAGGCUUAACACAUGCAAGUCGAGCGCCCCGCAAGGGGAGUGGCAGACGGGGGAGUAACGCGUGGGAAUCUACCCAUCUCUACGGAAUAACGCAUGGAAACGUGUGCUAAUACCGUAUACGUCCUUCGGGAGAAAGAUUUAUCGGAGAUGGAUGAGCCCGCGGUGGAUUAGCUAGUUGGUGGGGUAAAAGCCUACCAAGGCGACGAUCCAUAGCUGGUGUGAGAGGAGGAUCAGCCGCACCGGGACUGCGAAACGGCCCCGACUCCUACGGGGGGAGGCAGUGGGGAAGAUUGGACAAUGGGCGCAGGCCUGAUCCAGCCAUGAUGCGUGGUGGAUGAAGGCCGUCGGGUUGUAAAACACCUUCUCCGGUGGAGAUAACGACGGUAAUCAGAGAAGAAGCCCCGGCUAACUUCGUGCCAGCCGCCGCCGUAAAAC
rnacentral:rRNA from 1 species